CAUUCUAGUUUGAAAUGUUGGUGAGAGUAACGUGUUAAUUCAAAGCUGUUUUAAAAUGAUAUGUAAUGUAGCGAGUCUUGCGAGGUUGAAUUCCUUUAUAUUUUUAUUGGAUAUUGAACUCGCUACAAGCAACUCUCUACAAGUUACUCUGAAGAGCUUGGUUAGAAUGGACAUCUGUUGCCACUUCGCAUCGAUCUUGAUAACAGCGUGUUAUGUAGACUGUGUAUGAAGAUGAAAACAGACGCUGUGUUCUUAACGAAAUAAACCCCACCAGAGGGUGUGAUCCAUGUUUUUUCAAGAAUGCUGGUUGAAUUCUAACAACACUUCGUUAUUCAAGUGCUAUAACCCGAAGGAGACUUGAUCACUGUUCGGAAAUUUAAUGUCGACUCUUAAUACAGCUAGGAGCUCACUUUUCCGAAGGAAACUAGAGUAAUUCCUUGUAUCAUUGGAUAUUGAAGUGGAUUGUCUCGUUGCCACACAUCUCAACAUCUUGAGAGUUCCAAAAUGUUUUGAAAAGACACUGAGCCCUGGAUACUACAUGUCUACUCCGCAACUUCAUUUUCAAGAUCAUCCAAAUAUAUAACUUGUGUAACUUGGUACAUAAAAGUAUGGCUUUACUAUAAUCCAUAAUCUAGAGUUAGUGUGGUUAAGAUCAAACUUGAAAAGUACUCGAAACUUGAUCUAUGCUUUGUAUAACGGAUUAUGAUUGUUUUAAUUUAUCUUAAAUUAUGCAGGGAACUUUAAUGAAAAUUGUAAAAUUCUUUAAUUUUAACUUUAUCAAAUUAUUGUAAAUCUCCCCAAGAAAAUGAAACGGACGAAAUAAUUGAAAACGGCUUUUACGGAUUUAGCUUUAAGUCGCAUGUUCGAUUCCUGGUCCCGCAUCUUCCAGUUAAUAGGUUCCCCUUUAAUCGACGAACUAUUUCAGAGAACACGCUGAAUAAGAAUACUAACAAAUGCACCUUCCUUUAAUCGAAUUUUUUCGACUUCGAAGUUUUCAGUUUCCUUAUAAAUCGAAACAUAAAUCGCAUUUAUAGGUAUUAAUUCCAACUUGUGAUUUUGGGGUUGUAUUUCAGUUCUAUCUCGGUAGCAAUUCAUUUACACUUCAGCCAGUUUCAAUUGUAACCUUAAAAUGAUUUAAUUGCGAAACUCGGACGCCCCUAAAGCUCAAAUUCUAAUUUUCCUCAAACCAUCAGACAAAUUAUUUCUUCUAGGGAAAUUAGUACAAAAAGGCGCUAUUCACGAAUAAAAAAAUCGGUUAAGGACAACAUCCUUACGGCGUUUGUAUAUCGCAUAGUAGCAUAAGAAUCAGUCUUUAAUUUUCUACCGUCAUGACAUGGAUGUAUGCUUUUGGAUUAAAUUCUAAUGACUGUUGCCAACUUAGCUUUGAAUUUAAGAUGUAUGCAAUAUAAAAUCUUAAGUUGAGGACGCGCGUUCCAAUUAGUUAAUUUGGUAGGCAAAAUUUGGAGAGAUAGUUGCAAAUGCCAGUGUUGAAAGUAUAUAAAUUGCCUGGUUCUUGUGGGAAUCUUGUUCUUCGGCCAAUUGGGUUUCGAGAUGAGGUAAAAUGGAGGGAGUUGGGGUUAACGCGUUAAGUAAUACUGGUCCCUGCUGACUUUCUGCUCAGGCUGUUCGGGACCGGCAGCCAAAGCAGAAAGCAGCGGUCCCCGGGGAGCAGGUAUUUAACGCGUUAACUAGGAUCAUUGCAAGUGGAAUAGAGUAUUUGUGGGUUUUGAUUAGGAUGAAUGAAAUGGGAAUUGGCAUAAUUAGUCGAUAUAUCGAUUGGUAUAUCUGUGGAGGAAGGGGGUCGAAUCUGAGCUUAUUAAAUGCAAUUUGUACAAGAAACACUGGUAGCAACUAUCUCCAAAAUUCAAACUUGUUCCCAAGUUACUUAACACAUGCAAACCAAACAUCCUUAUUUUUUAGGCGCAAAAAUUUAAAAUACCUUGCCAUUUAGCUACCGCUAUCUUGAAUAAAUCAAACGCAAUGACUCGGCAGUGUUCAAAAUUAGAGUUAAAAUAACAAAUGUUUCGGAUAUGAUGUGUCGUCAAAUUAGGAAGUCGAGUAAAUUCGCAUGUGAAGGGCUUAAACGCGAUGUAAAUUAUAUAAAUCCAUGCAAUUCUACCCCUUAAAAAUAAGAUUUUUCCAUUAGUGAUGGGGGAAGUUAAAAGAUGAAACUUUCCGUGAAUCGAAAUACGAUCAACUAAUUAUAAAAAUAUUACUGGCUAGAUUUUUAUUUGCUAUUUGAAAAUCAAGAUAGUAUUGUACUAAUUUUAAAUUGAGGUUGGUUUUGUGAUGGUUUGAGGAAAUCUUAAAAGGAAUAUUCGCGAUUCUAACGCUUCUUCUAUCUUGCAUUUAGCUAACUUCGUAAUGCAGAUCCCAUCAAAUCAAGCACCUUCUGAGCUUGGAUUAGAUAAUAGAAAUGCAAAUCAAAUUAUAAUUUUAAUUUGAGUACAUCGAUUAAAGAUUGGAUUCCUUAAAUGUCGUAUUCAAAUAACAUUUUAUCUUCUAUACAUCCCUUGUGUUGUAAUAGAUCGAAAGUUCAACGAUAGUUAAAGCUGAUUGGAAAUUCCAACAUGAAAUGAAGAAAACGACUAAAACGUAAGCCACUUUUGAAGCAACUGCUCGAUCUUCUACAAAAAUUUCUAAUCCAAAAAAAUAAAAUCUGAAUCUUAAGACCCCAAGAAAUUAAUGUCAAAAUAAAUUUCACUAUUAGGGACACCUGGAAUCGAACAACUUUUGAAAUUCAAGUUCAUGUAUUUUCCAUUUUAAAAGAAAUUUUUAAAAUUUUAAGUUAGGUUUAACUGAUAGUUUAGAGGCGCGAACAUUAUUUGAAAGAUAGAAUCGUCCGUUUCAUUUGAAUUUAAAAUCAUCUCGGCAUGUGUAGUAAAUAUUCUAGUAAUUUCUUUAGUUUAAAAUUCUAAGAAUGCACAACUUCACGUGAAGGUUUUUAUUAAAUGGAUCUUAAGUUGGAAGAUCUUUUGAAAUCGGAAUAUUUUUAUAAAGCUGCGCCGCAUAUUUUUAAAUCCAAGCCAAAUAAAAGCCGUUCUAUAGCUAUAUAUGCAAGCUGAUUUCGAUACUUCAGUUCAAGUUUCCUCGCAAUUGAUAGUUAGCAUUCAUCUGUUUUAUGCUUAAAUUUUGUCUGCUAAUUUGUACUUUCUAGUAGUAGUUCUGAAAUAUUGUGCAGCAGGAAUUUUGGAUGAAUAUAGUUGAAGCCGAAAACUGUCGCCUCCUUCAGAAAAUAUUCUGCAGAUUGUAGCUAUACCAUAGUCAAGUCACUGAUAGUUACUCUCGACAUGCUGAGAGUAUUGAAAAGGUAGACAAGACAACAAAUGUUUGUAUAUAUCUUCCAUGUUUGUAAAGAUGAAGUUUUAUGUUGAAUUAAACUCCUAGUGUUUCAGUAAUGAAAUUUUGUAAUUAUCAAUGUUGCUACUAUCGGAACUUAAUUUGUGGAAACUCAAAAUGAAGCUUUGAUUUCAUAUCGGAAUAGUUCUAUAAGGAAUUUCGAAAAUUGAUCAUUGUAUUUAGAAACGGUUAUUUCAAUAUCUUAAAUAUUUAACUUUUCUAGGCUGGACGAUGUAUAGAUAGGAUCGGUUUAGGGAAUUGAUGAACAAAAUACUUAUUGGCGUUUAUCAUGUUAAAUCGGAUAGAAACGUUCCUAAAUCUUAAUUCAAGAUUUUCAUGGCAUCUGUGAAAAAAAAUUAAAGAACUAAUUUAAAUUUAGUUCCAGUGAGGAACUCGUUGCAUUUUCGAAAGAUGAUUUUCUUGUCGCAGUUGUAUUCCUCUCUUCUCUUUUGGAUAAUAGAGGGCGAUGCCUGAUUAAGUAUGCAUUCCAUAGUGCAUUGCGAUUGUAAGAAUGAGAUGCGAUGUUAAGGUGCGCGCGUUAAUAUCUUUUUUAGUGUUUUGUGUGAAAUCUGGUCACUAAAAUGUUCCUGAAAACACGAAUCCCCCUUGCUUCCACUGCACGGAUCAUAAUUCCACCACAUUCUUUAAUUAAACUGAAAUUUCUAUUUCGAAUAAUUGUUACUCAGCACUUGGCUUAAAUUCAAUUUUUAACUAAAAUACAAGUGAAUAACAAAUGAGCCAUCAAUCUGCAAUACUAUCAAUCUAGUGUUUGCUUCCUUAUAAAUCUUCUGAACGAGUUCGUUUUGCCAGUAACUAUUUCAGUGUAACGUCCAAACUCUAUUCCCGAUAGGAAAGUAGGCACCAGCUAAAUUUAGGUUAUUUUGGAGUUACAACUUCAGUAUUCCAACUGCCGUGUUCAAUUUCUAUAAAUACAAUUCUAGAUUUGAAAUGUUUAAUGCAUUAGACUGUUGCUCACAAAACAAUGUAAUUAGUAAAAAUUAGAACCAAAAAUAUGCUUGCGUCUCCAUAUAAAACUCGUGAACCAGAAGAAUCCUCUUAAACUAAAUUUAAUUCGUAUCAAAAAUUUUAAACUAAAUUUCUCUCGGAAUAAAUUACAACUUUUCAGUAAAAUAUCGACUAAAAUUUAAAUUUUAGCUAUACGAGCAUAAAUUUUAACGCAUCUGGAUAGAGUAGUUGCAAAUGUAAUUGUAUGUUUUAUGUGAAGGUGGUCAUUUGCUCCGUCGACAAGCAAACUGACCACAUUCCGUCUCUAAAAAAAUUACGGGCAUUUUGAUCUCGGUGCCUGGCCAACAUCGGGAUCAAAAUGUUUCGAAUAAAAUCUUCAAUAGCUUUAAAUUCAGUUAAUUGUAAAAUGUUUCUUAAAAUUGAGACUACUGCUCUAAAAAAUCUAAAAUUAAGCUUUGAAAAAUGUUUAAUUUACAAAUACUAAAGCAUCUUAAAUUAUUUCAUUCUUUCAGUUUAAGUAAAGCCUCUCUUAAUCUCAUUAAAUCUGGAUCAAACUAUUUUUGAGUUUUUGUACUAAACAAGCAAGAUUUUAAAUAUUGCUCUAAUAGUUUCACUUCUGUAUGUUCGUGAUUAGUAAUGUCUGGAUUCAUCUGGUUCACGCUUACAACACCGGAAUUUUUAAUGUCUCACGAUUCCCAUGUUCCUUUUUAACAUCAUACUGAAUUAAAAUAGUUAAUAUUAAUGUCUUGGGUCUCAUUAAUGAAAAUUCCGCAGUUUGCUAUAUAAAGUUCAGUGAAAACCGAUAACAUUACUGCUCGCCUUGAAGACUUGUCCAUAAUUUUUGACUAAUUCGAAACCAACAACGUAAAAAUUCUAAUGGAUUUGAAUGCAAUGCACAUCUGUUGUAAAUAGAAAUUUCUAUCGUUAAACGUGACGUUUUUAAAAUUUUAAGGUAAUUAAAAGAUAGUUUAAACAUCGUAAUUCCGAAUUAAAUUUGAACAAAAUCAAGAAAAUAUUAAAUAUCCAGCUUUAUUAGAAACUCUCGGCAUAAAAUUAAAUCUUCAAAGCUCGUCUCUACGACAACUUUAGUUCUGAUUCACUCAAAUUUCUAGAGCCCUAACGAUAAGAGUUUUAGAGGAAAAAAUUA